UUCAUUUAUUUUUUCAAUUUCUCUUUUUUUUCCGUUAUAUUAUGUUUUAUAUCUUCAUUUCUUUUAUUUCUUUGUCAUCUUAAUAAAUAUAUAUCUUUCAUUUCUUAUGCUAGUUGACAAUAAUAAAAGGCAUUUCUUUUAAACGUAACAUAUUCUCUUUAUUAUUAAGGAAGACGUUAUCAACAUGUACAGCAAGCAACAAACUUGACCAAACAAAAAAGCACAAAUAGUAUCACUGUUCACCAAUCAGGUUACAUAAUGUGGGCUUCAUAUGACAAAGGGUACAUUAUGUUGUAUGAGAUGAUACAAGAGAGUGGAUCAACAUUGUCCACAAAGUAGAAAGUUGAGAACCAUUUUUGUUUACAUUUUCAUACAGAAAAUUUAUACAGUAAUGUCAAACUGUAACAUCAAACAGCAAACUCUAACAGAAGUACAGAAACAAUGAUCAUCGUAUAAAAAAGGCAAUGAUGCAAGAGAGAAUGGAUUUGUAAUCCUGUGUUGGUUUUACAUAAAGUUUCAAUGUCACUAGUCAAUAUCACAGUCACUUCCUAUUUGUAGUUGUAGACUGGGGUCCGCGCUUUGAACCAAGAUCUGUUAAGUUUCCUACGCUUUGAGUCAAGCUUUGCUGAGCUUUGUCACGCUUUGAUACGCUCUCGGCGCUUUAUUCCAUUCUUGACAGAGCGCCGAAUUUUUUUAAACCGUUUAAAAAAUGUUGGCGAUCUUGCCGCAUGUCCCGCUUCACUACAAGCUUUCCCACGAUCCAUUACGACCCUCACGCUUUAAUCCCGCUUUGUUACGCUUUAACGCCGCUUUGCAUGCCACUUUAAAGCGCCGUUGGUGUGAACCUAGCAUUAAUGAACAAUGGAGGCAGCAAAGAAGAAAGCUGUAGGUGGGAAGCGGUGUAUUGCCACCGGAUGUAGUAAGACAAACACAGCCGGUGUUUCAUUGUUUACAUUCCCGAAAGACGACAGUCAAGCUUUACUAUGGAACAGAGAGGUCAAGCGAACACGGUUGGAUUGGACCACACACGCAAAGUACAGUGUAUUAUGAAGCGAACAUUUUGAAAAAUCGUGUUUCGAAGAGGGUCCCUUGCGAAGGGUAGAGAUGGGCAUCGCCACCACCCGUCGACUGAUGCUGAAGAAAGGUGCCAGGCCAACUAUUUUCAACAGACCACGGCCAGGCCAUCAGUGGCAGUGUCACUGUCAGUGCUCCCAGUGCCAGUGCUUCCACAAGUUCAGACCACUCCACAAGUGGACUGACCGUGCACAUGAGGUCUGCAUUUGCCAAAAGGGAAAGGAAGAGGACAAUAGAUCAGAUCAUGGCCAGUACGACUACGGCAUCAGUGGCGGAUGCGGUGGAUGAACCAAUGGCAAUGGCACUAGAUUUGCCUGAUGAGGAGGGCGAUCAAGAUCAGGGAAAUACAAGAGAACAAGGAUGCCAGACGGACUGGUACCGAUUGGGACAGCACCAACCAAUGACUAGUAGCAAGAGAACCCACACAGGGAAAAUACAUCAUAGAUGAAAGGGACACCAGGUGACCCCAGAGAUCCUCGAGAGGAUUAGAGCUCGGCCAGCCAGGGUUAGUGAAGUCCCAUCGUCAAGUGUAGCAGCUCCACCUGACAGCCCCGAGAUGCAGCCCAACAUCGCAACUCCAGGUGCGUCUGGAAUGCAAGCCAAGCUACGACCACCUCCUGCAUUGUUUGAUGAAGGACCAGCAUCAAGUCCCGCUGCGCCUUCUGUUAGUGGUUCUUCCGAUGACAGCUAUGUGCCGAGUGGGUCAUCGACAUCGGAUCCGUGUCAAUCUGACGGGUCGCCAGAUUCCCAAGAUGCGGGAAGAAGGCUGCCACAAGGAACCGAAGUACAUCAUCUUUGAGUCGUGCCUCCAGAGUCUUGUCAAGUGGUGUCACUGUCCAGCCUGUGGCAGCCAGGACAUAAGCCCUUCUUGGGAUUCGAACGGUACACCGCUGACCAUGACUAUACAAUGUGCAUCAUGUGACCAGAAGAGUAGGUGGAGCAGCCAGCCAAACAUCGGCCCUUAUGCCGCGGUUUAGGCAUCUUGGUGAGAAAGAUUGCAAACAAUUCUGCCAUGGUGUUAAAAUUAAAAACAAAACCGCUUCAUUAUUGCAGGAGAUCAAGCUUUAAUAGCUGAAUAUAAACAGUUUAAUACACAAACAUUUGUAUUCAAAUUUACAAACAAUUUAUAAAUUUACACACACAUUGUAGGGACGCAUGACUGAAUAAAGUGUCUUUUAUCUUAUACAGUUUGCACCGAAAAUGUAUGUCUUCUCAUACAUCGGAAUGCUGUGCAGGAACCUGCUUGCUGGGCUGCACUGGAAUGAAAACUCCAGCCGCCCUAUAGCCACCACACAAGCGGGUGCUGAGCGCUACGCAGUACGCUACCCGAAGUAUAAAGCAGGGGGCCAUGUGGUCAAGAAAAUUGCGACAGAGCCAGAGGACACAAAACAUGCUACGUAGAUGACUUGAUCAGGGAGGUUGUUGCUGGCUGCUGACAGACCCCUGACGAGAGAACACCAGUCAGCGUCACCGUGGAUGUGCCUCCCUUCCUCUGCGAUGAACUGGAGAAGCCAGACAAGGAGGAAGCCAUCGCUAAGCAUUAAUAACUACAGUGUCCAUGUGGAUUCUGUUGCAGUCACUGCACGUCUUGGAACCCAGUGUAGUCCAUCGAUGGAAAUGUUGUUCUAAUCUUAUGUACUACACAAGCUGGUAGUGCCACCCUUAUCUCCUUUCCCAGAUAUCCCCAGCAGAAGCGGACAAACUGUCGAUAUGCUGUGUAUCGUCUCCGCCUGCAAGUACAAAAUAGUUGAUAGCAAAUUAUGGCACCUGUUAUUAUCCAGACAUGGAUACACAGUGACUCACUGUUCUCUGAGAUGCAAAAGACAUUGUCAUGCAUUCUAUUCAUUUGUCAUUUACUGAUGCAGUAAAUUGUAAAUAUGCUUGACAUCUACGGUCCAUGUACACUACCGUUCAAAAGUUUGGGGUAACCCAAACAAUUUUGUGGAAUAGCCUUCAUUUCUAAGAACAAGAAUAGACUGUCGAGUUUCAGAUGAAAGUUCUCUUUUUCUGGCCAUUUUGAGCGUUUAAUUGGCCCCACAAAUGUGAUGCUCCAGAAACUCAAUCUGCUCAAAGGAAGGUCAGUUUUGUAGCUUCUGUAACGAGCUAAACUGUUUUCAGAUGUGUGAACAUGAUUGCACAAGGGUUUUCUAAUCAUCAAUUAGCCUUCUGAGCCAAUGAGCAAACACAUUGUACCAUUAGAACACUGGAGUGAUAGUUGCUGGAAAUGGGCCUCUAUACACCUGUGUAGAUAUUGCACCAAAAACCAGACAUUUGCAGCUAGAAUAGUCAUUUACCACAUUAGCAAUGUAUAGAGUGUAUUUCUUUAAAGUUAAGACUAGUUUAAAGUUAUCUUCAUUGAAAAGUACAGUGCUUUUCCUUCAAAAAUAAGGACAUUUCAAUGUGACCCCAAACUUUUGAACGGUAGUGUAUGUAAUACUUCUAUGAUAUAUAAUGUUAUGUACAUUGUAGCACAGUACAUUUCA